rnacentral:rRNA from 1 species
UACGUAGGGGGCAAGCGUUGUCCGGAAUCAUUGGGCGUAAAGCGCGUGUAGGCGGCCAGCUAAGUCCGCUGUGAAAUCUCGAGGCUCAACUUCGAGCUGUCGGUGGAAACUGUCUGGCUAGAGUCCGGAAGAGGAGAAUGGAAUUCCUGGUGUAGCGGUGAAAUGCGCAGAUAUCAGGAAGAACACCCGUGGCGAAGGCGGUUCUCUGGGACGGUACUGACGCUGAGACGCGAAAGCGUGGGGAGCAAACAGG